rnacentral:lncRNA from 1 species
AGAAAGGAAAGAAGAGAAGCAGUCCCAUUCAGUUGCGAACCAUAAGGACGGUUUCCUAGUGAUCGGAAGGAACAUUUUGCAAGCACCGCAAAUAGCUCUCUGACUGGACGUGCGUAGCCAUUGGGGGUCCUUCCCCGGGGUCGCUUUCUGUCUAUGAAAACAAUAUCGAUUUCUUGAUUUUCGUGUCAACAGGGUGCUUUGUCUCGGUGACCUCCAAAUGGAAAGUAAUAGGUCCAGAAAACUGCAGCUGCCUCUAAGGACUCUCACCUGCCAUUGAUUUCCUCUCAAGCCCAAUAACACCAUUUCCUCCCAUCCUGUUGCCUACUGCCAGCCACCCAGAUGGCAAGGGCACCUUGGGAGAAGUUACAGGUGGCUUCAUGCUUUCUGUGCUGUUCCGUUCAAAAGCAGGUGGCUUGAGAAUCCUGGGGUCUUAAUGCUCUGCAGAACAUGGACAGAUGAGAUAGAUCCUUCUCUGGCCAUAGGCUCUCACUCCACUAAGUGCACACAUGAUAGGAAGUUGGACAGACAGACGGAUGGCAGCAGCCCCAUCGCUGUGGUCAUGAUGCACUAACUUCCUGUUCUGACCCUGCAGGCCCAGCUUCUGUGGGCCACAGCCAUCUUCUGCACGGGACCUCUCGACCUGACAUUCACGCCCUUUCACCCGCCUAACUGUUCUUCUUUCUUCCCCACAACUAUACGACAGCUGUUGUAUCAGGUACACAACAGCUAUAGAAAGGAUGUGGCGUUCACACACCAAUUCCUUACUGGAUUCUGAUUC